rnacentral:lncRNA from 1 species
GUGUUUUUUUCCACCACACCAAUGUCCCAGGUUUCUGAGACUGCCUUCAACACCCUGGAAUCAAUCUGAUGUCAGCGUCAGCAAGCUGAUGGACAGCACUGACAGCUCACAGAUGCAAACUUAGCAAAGGUUAGUUAUGUUAGUCCUUACAAACAAAAUGACAGGUAAACAAUAUGUCAAGAACCCAUUUUAUUCAAGCUAAACAUGUAAAUGUGGCAAGCUGAUCUUGAGGUUCAACACACACACAAAAAAACAAAAAAAAAUAAUAAUGAUAAUUAUCAUGGUUAUCAUCCCUCUUUCUGCAGCAUGGAACCAGAGGAACCAGAGGCUUCAUGUUGCAGCCAUAUUCAGUUGAGCCUUCCCUCUGGACCACACCCCAGCAUCAUGACUUUAAUCUUUUCCAGAAUCCACUCCUAACUUAAAGUAGAAAACGUC